rnacentral:rRNA from 1 species
AUCCUGGCUCAGAUUGAACGCUGGCGGCAGGCCUAACACAUGCAAGUCGAGCGGUAACAGAAGAAAGCUUGCUUUCUUGCUGACGAGCGGCGGACGGGUGAGUAAUGUAUGGGGAUCUGCCCGAUAGAGGGGGAUAACUACUGGAAACGGUGGCUAAUACCGCAUGACGUCUACGGACCAAAGCAGGGGCUCUUCGGACCUUGCGCUAUCGGAUGAACCCAUAUGGGAUUAGCUAGUAGGUGAGGUAAUGGCUCACCUAGGCGACGAUCUCUAGCUGGUCUGAGAGGAUGAUCAGCCACACUGGGACUGAGACACGGCCCAGACUCCUACGGGAGGCAGCAGUGGGGAAUAUUGCACAAUGGGCGCAAGCCUGAUGCAGCCAUGCCGCGUGUAUGAAGAAGGCCUUAGGGUUGUAAAGUACUUUCAGCGGGGAGGAAGGUCCCUGAAGUUAAUACCUUUAUCAAU